rnacentral:rRNA from 1 species
UACGUAGGGUGCGAGCGUUAAUCGGAAUUACUGGGCGUAAAGCGUGCGCAGGCGGUUUGUUAAGACAGGUGUGAAAUCCCCGGGCUCAACCUGGGAAUGGCGCUUGUAACUGGCAGGCUAGAGUGUGUCAGAGGGAGGUAGAAUUCCACGUGUAGCAGUGAAAUGCGUAGAGAUGUGGAGGAAUACCGAUGGCGAAGGCAGCCUCCUGGGAUAACACUGACGCUCAUGCACGAAAGCGUGGGGAGCAAACAG